GAUGAAGAACGCAGCGAAAUGCGAUACGUAAUGUGAAUUGCAGAAUUCCGUGAAUCAUCGAAUCUUUGAACGCACAUUGCGCCCGCCAGCAUUCUGGCGGGCAUGCCUGUUCGAGCGUCAUUUCAACCCUCGACGUCCCCCGGGACGUCGGCCUUGGGGACCGGCAGCACCCCGCCGGCCCUGAAAUGGAGUGGCGGCCCGUCCGCGGCGACCUCUGCGAAGUACUACAGCUCGCACCGGAAACCCGACGCGGCCCCGCCGUGAAACCCCCAACUCUGAACGUUGACCUCGGAUCAGGUAGGACUACCCGCUGAACUUAAGCAUAUCAAUAAGCGGAGGA
rnacentral:misc_RNA from 1 species